rnacentral:rRNA from 1 species
GUGUCAGCAGCCGCGGUAAUACCGGCAGUCCGAGUGAUGGGGGAUCAAAUUGGGCCUAAAGCGUCCGUAGCUGGCCAAGGAAGUCCAUCGGGAAAUGCAGGGGCCCAACGGGUGGGCGUCCGGUGGAAACUGGCUGGCUUGGAACCGGAAGGCUCAGAGAGUACGUCCGGGGUAGGAGUGAAAUCCCGUAAUCCCGGACGGACUACCGAUGGCGAAAGCACUCUGAGAAGACGGCUUCGACAGUGAGGGACGAAAGCUCGGGUCUCAAACCGGAUUAGAAACCCCCGUAGUCC